rnacentral:snoRNA from 1 species
UCUAUUUGACAAACAUGGAGCAGUUGUUGUCUGCUGCUAAGGUUUCCACUACAAAUGCAUGAAAAAGUAUCUUUGCACUUCCUGUCUAUCUGAGUGUGGCAGCCAAGAUGAAUGGGGGAAUACAGGA